rnacentral:rRNA from 1 species
GACGAACGCUGGCGGCGUGCCUAAUACAUGCAAGUCGAACGCAGUGGGGACGGGUGAGUAACACGUGGGUAACCUCCCAUCAGAGGGGAUAACACUUGGAAACAGGUGCUAUACCGAUACUGCUGGAUGAUCCCGCGGUGCAUUAGCUAGUUGGUGAGGUAACGGCUCACCAAGGCCACGAUGCAUAGCCGGCCUGCGAGGAUGAUCGGCCACACUGGGACUGAGACACGGCCCAGACUCCUACGGGAGGCAGCAGUGGGGAAUAUGGCACAAUGGGCGAAAGCCUGAUGCAGCCAUGCCGCGUGUAUGAAGAAGGCCUUCGGGUUGUAAAGUACUUUCAGCGGGGAGGCGUUACCCGCAGAAGAAGCACCGGCUAACUCCGUGCCAGCAGCCGCGGUAAUUC